rnacentral:rRNA from 1 species
UCGGACUGUAGGCUGCAACUCGCCUACACGAAGUCGGAAUCGCUAGUAAUCGCGGAUCAGCAUGCCGCGGUGAAUACGUUCCCGGGCCUUGUACACACCGCCCGUCACACCAUGGGAGUUUGCAACGCCCAAAGUCGGUGGCCUAACCUUUAUGGAGGGAGCCGCCUAAGGCGGGACAGAUGACUGGGGUGAAGUCGUAACAAGGUACC